rnacentral:rRNA from 1 species
GUCUACGGCCAUGCCACCCUGAACGUGCCCAAUCCCAUCUGAUCUCGGAAGCUAAGCAGGGUUGGGCCUGGUUAGUACUUGGAUGGGAGACCACUUAGGAAUACCAGGUGCUGUAGGCA